rnacentral:rRNA from 1 species
UACGGAGGGUGCAAGCGUUAUCCGGAUUUACUGGGUUUAAAGGGUGCGCAGGCGGCUAUGUAAGUCAGUGGUGAAAUCUCCGGGCUUAACCCGGAAACUGCCGUUGAUACUAUAUAUCUUGAAUGCUGUGGAGGUAAGCAGAAUAUGUCAUGUAGCGGUGAAAUGCUUAGAUAUGACAUAGAAUACCUAUUGCGAAGGCAGCUUACUACGCAGAUAUUGACGCUCAUGCACGAAAGCGUGGGGAUCAAACAGG